rnacentral:tmRNA from 1 species
GGGGUCGAUCGGUUUCGACGGUGAUCUGUUCGCCGCAGGGAAGCGUGCCGAGAACGCAGGGGUCCACUCGUUAACGUGCUCCUGUAAAGAAUAAGUGCUAAAUCUAACCGCACUGAGUUCGCUCUCGCUGCCUGAGCUUCGCGCCAGGAUUAACCAGUGAGCAGCCGCUCCGUUCACUCCCCCACGUCUUCGGGGGGAUGUUGAGCGUCGUGAGAAGACUUGCCUGAAGCAUUGCGUCACAGGGUGCUUCGGGGACUUUUGCUGUGAAUAUGCCCGCCGCCAGUUGUCUGCGACAUCGGCGGGGGCAGACAUAUAGCCACCAGGCCAGCAGACUACGCACGUAGAAGACUGAGGGUACGGUUACCGGACGCGGGUUCAAUUCCCGCCGGCUCCACGA